ACUCCUACGGGAGGCAGCAGUAAGGAAUAUUGGACAAUGGGCGGAAGCCUGAUCCAGCCAUCCCGCGUGCAGGAUGACGGCCCUAUGGGGUUGUAAACUGCUUUUAUGAGAGAAGAAACGCCUUGAUUUAUUUAGGGUCUGACGGUAUCUCAUGAAUAAGCACCGGCUAACUCCGUGCCAGCAGCCGCGGUAAUACGGGAGGGUGCAAGCGUUAUCCGGAAUCACUGGGUUUAAAGGGUGCGUAGGCGGUUAGAUAAGUCAGAGGUGAAAGGUUGUCGCUUAACGAUAAAUUGCCUUUGAUACUGUUUAACUUGAAUCAGAAUGAGGUUGGCGGAAUGUGACAUGUAGCGGUGAAAUGCAUAGAUAUGUCAUGGAACACCGAUUGCGAAGGCAGCUGACUGGCACUUGAUUGACGCUGAGGCACGAAAGCGUGGGAGCGAAC
rnacentral:rRNA from 1 species